rnacentral:piRNA from 1 species
UAGGUGAAUUCUCAUGAUGCAGAUGA